rnacentral:lncRNA from 1 species
CGGGGAGUCGGCCUCGGGGCUCUGCUCUCCUACCUCAGUCUGCCCUACCCUGGAAUGGGGAAAAUGCGGACAUGCCACUCAGUCCGGCCGCGAACAGUGCUCCAGAACUCAGAGAGUUUUCCAGACGGGUGGAGAUCGCGUUCCCUGCCCGCCGAGGUCCCAUCGCUUCCCUGCUGGGAAGACAAAUGAGGCGCUUUAGCCGUCUCCACGGCCAGCCCCUCCCUCAUAACCCGAGAUUCUUUGUGGGCUCUUAGUCCAUAGCUGCCUUUGAGGUGGUGUAGACCUUGCUAACCAGGACGGCCCAGUAGGCAGAGCUCAUUUUUAUUCCUGUCUGCAAUCGUGCAAAAACGCCUCUUAUGGAAAAGCCAGAGCGCCAGGAGUCAGCAAAACACACUAAAGAUUGGGCAGUCACUGGGGAGAACGUGAGUAAAAGCACAGGAACAGCAAAGCGUUCAGGAACGUUCGAGGCUGACGCAACCGGCGCAGGAAGGUGGUGUGUGGUGGGAGAGUGGGAGGAGACAGUGGAAAGUUUAGACUUGCUUCUGUAAGUGAUAAGAAGUCAUCAGAUAUUUUCAAGCAGGAGAGGAAAAUAAUCUCUCUGUUUCGCAAAGUUAACUCUCAUGGCAACAGAGCAGAGUAGCGGGGGGAUGGGGGCUGGGAGAUGUUGGGAAGCUAUUGUUACCACUCUGGUGAAGAGUCAUGGGACCUCAAAAGCUGGGAUAGUCACGGUGGGAAUGGAAAGGAAGGGCACAAGCUGAGAGGCAUUUGGGAGGAGAAUCAAUAGCACUUUAUUGACUGGAUGUGUGAGAUGAGUGAGGACAGCAAUCAGAAGAGGACUUUGAGGUUUCUAGCCUGAGUGGCUGGAAGGACACCACUUCCCCUACCUGAAAUAGGUAGCAAAAAGGAGAGAGAAAGAGAGAAGCAGAGGGAUUUUGCAAAGGGAAUAGGAGUUCAGUUUUUGACAUGUGGCAUUUGAAUUGCAAGAAGUACAUCCCUGUGGAUGUAAUACCCAGUAGACAGUUGGGAAUUAGGAUCUGGUGUCGAGAAGAAAAGUAGAGAUGAGAUCCAAAGGGUUUAUAGUGGAUCGGGAGAGAAAUUGAUGACCUAAAGAGAAAUUAUAGAAUAAGAAGAUUUGGGCAGGGCACGGUGGCUCAUGCCUGUAAUCCCAGCAUUUUGGGAGACCAAGGUAGGAGGAUUGCUUGAGCCCAGGAGUUUGAGACCAGCCUGGGCAACAUGGUGAGACCCCGACUCUACAAAAACUGCAAAAAUUAGCCGGGUGUGGUGACACAUACCUGUAAUUCCAGCUACUUGGGAGGCUGAGGUGGGGGGAUCACCUGAGCCUGGGGAGGUCUAGGCUGCAGUGAGCUGAGAUAGUGCCACUGCACUCCAACCUGGGCAACAUAGCAAGAGCAAGACCCUGUCUCAAAAGUAAAAAAAAAAAAAGAAGAUUCAAGUACAGAAUCUUGGGAAGGUAGAAAGAGGACACAGAGGCCAGGUGUGGUGGCUCAUGCCUGUGAUCCCAGCACUUUGGACGCUGAGGUGGGUGGAUCAUCUGAGGUCAGGAGUUCAAGACCAGCCUAGCCAACAUGGUGAAACCCUGUUUCUAUUAAAAAUUAUCCAGGCAUGGUGGCGGGCGCCUGUUAAUUCCAGCUUCUCGAGAGGCUGAGGUAGGAGAAUGGCUUGAACAUAGGAGGCAGAGGUUGCAGUGAGCUGAGAUUGUGCCACUACACUCCAGCCUGGGCAACAGAGUGAGACUCUGUCUCAAAAAAAAAAAAAAAAAAAAAGAGGACACAGAGCUAGCAAAACAGACAAAGAAGUAUCAGAAAGAUAUGAAAAAUUAAAAAAAAGCAAACUACGAUACUGUAAUAGAAAUAAGAAAAUAAUUCCAGGAAGAGGAAGCAGGACAUUGUUUAUGUAUGUACAAAACAGUAAGACAUUGGUUAAAUAAAUUAUAAAGCAUUCAUUUGAUAGAAUACAGCCAUUAAAAUUAUGUUGCAAAACUAUAUAAUUGCCAUAAAGAGAUGUUCAAUGCAUCUUUUUUCCCCCAGUGCAUCUUAGAAACACUCAGGUUAAAAAAUAGUAUAUAUGCUGGGCACGGUGGCUCACGUCUGUAAUCCUAGCACUUUGGGAGGCUGAGGCAGGUGGAUCACGAGG